rnacentral:tRNA from 1 species
GGGGCUAUAGCUCAGCUGGGAGAGCGCUUGCAUCGCACGCAAGAGGCCAGCGGUUCGAUUCCGCUUAGCUCCA